rnacentral:rRNA from 1 species
GACGAACGCUGGCGGCGUGCCUAAUACAUGCAAGUAGAACGCUGAAGAGAGGAGCUUGCUCUUCUUGGAUGAGUUGCGAACGGGUGAGUAACGCGUAGGUAACCUGCCUUGUAGCGGGGGAUAACUAUUGGAAACGAUAGCUAAUACCGCAUCACAAUGGAUGACCCAUGUCAUUUAUUUGAAAGGGGCAAAUGCUCCACUACAAGAUGGACCUGCGUUGUAUUAGCUAGUAGGUGAGGUAACGGCUCACCUAGGCGACGAUACAUAGCCGACCUGAGAGGGUGAUCGGCCACACUGGGACUGAGACACGGCCCAGACUCCUACGGGAGGCAGCAGUAGGGAAUCUUCGGCAAUGGGGGCAACCCUGACCGAGCAACGCCGCGUGAGUGAAGAAGGUUUUCGGAUCGUAAAGCUCUGCUGUAAGUCAAGAACGAGUGUGAGAGUGGAAAGUUCACACUGUGACGGUAGCUCUACCAGAAA